GAGGAGGCUCUUCCCAUCCUUGGCUCCUGACAUCGGGUCCUUUCCCUUCGUGCCCUAGAGGAAAAGAAGCUGGCUGUGAAGUCUCUUCCCAUCUGCCUAGGCCAUGAUAAGCAUGCCAGGAAAGCAGCAAGAACCAGGGAGUGGCUCCUCUACACUACAGCUCCCAGCCAAGAGAUAUGAAUGCAAACAGCCACUCAGGUUUGAGACCAGUCUUCUUGAGAAACCAUUUCUACACAAGCCCUAAGUGAAGAGAAGAAACUCAAUCAAAGUCUACCUACUGCUUUCCAGUUCUUCUACUUGUUAUUUUUUAUGUCAACAGUAAACAAUUUAAAAUGAUUAACAUGGAGUCCUUGGAAUCCUGCAGCCAUGGGAACAGUUAAGAAAGAAAAUUUUAAAGGACUAUUAGCUUACCUGGAACCAAACCAUGGCUAACCUGCAGGGUAUUUGCUAUUUUUGGCCUGUUUAUAAACUCCAAGUACUUCCGUGAAUCAAGAAAAGGUGGUAAACCUGUCUCAAUCCGCCACAAACACAUUUAAUUCCAAGUAUUAGAACUGUGUCAAUAACAAUUGUGUAUGGGUCCUGGGAGGACAAAAGCCACGGAGAGGUAAUGUCCACUCUUCAGAGAGUUUCAGAGAGAUGGAGUGGGGAGGUGGCCUGUUGGAGUUGGCUGUCAAGGCUAAGAUCUGGGGAGGUGGUAGGCAGUUGUGUCGUGUCCUGUUUCAAGACAAGGCUCUGAAACCCCCAUAAGAACAAAUCACUGAAAAUGCAAACACCGAGCAGUCACAUCACAGUCCAGGAGGUGCCACUGCCACAUUCUGCACUGCUACAUGUAUGCCACGCUGUACAUGGGUCACAGGGGGACUCUGCCUUGGGAACAAAGGUGGGAACUGUUACAGAGGGAGACAGGCACUUUAUGGGCCCCUUCCUGCCUUAUUCAGCCCCUCCACUGGAUAAAUGGUGUCUUUUCCUUUUUCAGCAACAGUAAAGAGUGCUCAAUUCAAUUGGUGAAUAUUGAUGGAAGGAGGUGGUUUCAAAUUCCUCUCGCUGAUUUGAAAGCCACUUGUAACACUUCCCCAGCAAGAGCAAACAAUAAAACACUGAGAAGUACAAAGGUAAUACUUCCUUCGCAAGUCAAGAUAGCAAGGAAGGCAUCUGGUACAGAGAAGAAGAACUGCCUUUACAAUGAUAGGGCAGUUUAUGCCAAGAGAGUGAUGGACCUAAGCGUGACCUAUCAGAUUUUUCCUUAAAGAAGAGGAGAGAGAAGUUCUCCUUUCUCCUUAAAUCUAUGUUAGUCACUGAAGAAGAAGAAGAAGAUAGUAAUAUAUUAAAAGCUGGUGAAUGCGAUUGUCCACAAAACUUUUUAAUAAGUAAGGUGAAGGCCAAUUUGUGUCUAGCCACAAAUGUACAUAACAAGUGAAGGCUUACUGACAACUGUUAAUUUUUCAGAAAUAAAAAGCUAAAAAAAAAAAAACAAGACAAAACAAAGGAAAAAGGGGUAAAGUCACAAUGCAAUGUAAGUCAUUACCUUCAAACAAAUCCAUACAAUUAUGGCCAAGCACUUGCGUAUGGGUAAAGAGCUGGAGAGAAUGAAAGACGUCAGCAGAACUGUGUACUCUCUGGACAAUGACACUUGCACAAAGAGAAGCUCGCACCCUUCUGGAAGCUUCUACUACUGUGACUCUACCUUACACAUCUUUGUAACCUUAGCACCCAGCACCACACCUCGCAUAAGCUGGGCACUCAUUCAUGACUGGCUAAAUAGACAAAUGGAUGGACUGAUGGACAGAUGAAGUAACUGUUAAUUGAAAGUUUUAUUUCAUUUUAAGUGCAACCCUCAUAAUAGUCUUUAACCGCUGGCUUCAAAUAAUAGAACAUCCCAAUAGUCUAAAGUAUAUUCUGUCAUAAUCUACCUGACUCCUACAGUUCAAGAGAGACAUGGUAACCUCUGUCUUAUCAUUUGACCUUCCCACUCUGGAGAUAGACAUAAGUUGAUACCCAUUAAUUUCCGGUGGACUGAGUAGGUCAGGAGGGAUUCCAGAGCCUCACAGAGCUUACCAGGAUGGCAGCCAUCCAGAGGGAGCAGGAAACAAGUUCCAGUAAUUUGUUCUCACCUGAAGCUAAACAAAGUUACCCAGAAAACAGGCCCUCAUACCACAGAAAUCCCAGAAAGAAAGACAGGCUUUCCCCUUCCUGUCAAGAUCCUUGGGAAAAACCUUCAGGGCAAUGGUUGUGACCACUUACUUCUCAGUAACUGGGAGGUAAUUUGACACUAAUAAGAGUCACAAACACAGAAGUUUGUGGAUGCUUUGCUUGCCUUACAUUACAGCCGAUUAAAGAUUAUCUCUAUAAUGAGGUAAUUUCCACAGCUCACCAAGUGGGUGUAAAAGGAGCAGAAUUAUCGCUGGCGGGAAGGAUGGAGUACAAACUACAGGCUGUGUGAGCCAAGCAGCAGCCCAGGCAAGCCUGCUAUGGAUGUGCCUUCCCUGGCUAUUGUAAUUAGAGAUCCUAGAAGGGCUUGGGAAGUGUAGUUUUGCAGUUAUUACCAC